rnacentral:tRNA from 1 species
GGGGGAUAUGGCGAAAUCGGUAGACGCUACGGACUUGGAAAAUCCGUCGACUUUAAAAAUCGUGAGGGUUCAAGUCCCUCUAUCCCC